GUACGAAAAUGGUUGCCAUGACAAAAACAACUUUCCGUAUCCACGGUGCAAGGACGUGUACUCGUGGUAUUUCUACUGCGCCUUAGAGACUGCUGUUAACUUCACCAUCAACGUCACGGUGGCUUAUAAAGGACAGGAAAAUCGCACCUUAAGCUUUAACCUGAACAAUGCAACAACAGCUGAGUGGAAUCCAGAAAGUCUGACAAAGCAACAAUAUCAGAAAGGACCAACUGUAGGCAAGGCCCACGGUUAAAGCGACAGUUCAAAAGCUUACGUACGAGGAUGGAUGCAAGCAACCAUCAUAUUCCUCUAGUAUGAUGUGCAGUGACAUUUAUAUGUGGUAUAUAUACAUUGGCAUAGUUACUCCGUUUAACCUCCCGAUCAAUGUAACAGUAUCAGACAAGGAUCAGAAAAAUGAGACAUUACUAGUCGACAUAAACAAUGCAUCAUACAUAUAUUGGAAUCCGAAAAAUCUUACGACGGCCCUUCUGUUUAAAGAACCCUAUUCUGAAGAGAAAUGUAAUUUCAGCGUUGAAGUCACUUUUACUGGGAUGUUCACUUAUAAGGUAACAACUGUAGACGACGACAAGCCUCAAGAGGGUUCUCAUGGCAUAGGAAGGGUCGCAAUGAAUAAUCAAAAUCUCACGCAACGUGAUGACCAUAUUUUAGCGUACAACAUCAGUGGCGUAUUUCAACACAGAGUGAUAUGUAAAUAAAUAUUUACCAUGUUGAAAGGCAAUAAAGAACUGUGAACCAGCAA